UACGGGAGGUGCAAGCGUUGUUCGGAGUGACUGGGCGUAAAGCGCACGUAGGUGGGCUUGUAAGUCGGAUGUGAAAUCCCCGGGCUUAACCUGGGAACUGCAUCCGAAACUACAAGUCUUGAAUGCUUCAGAGGUUGGUAGAAUUCCAGGUGUAGGAGUGAAAUCCGUAGAUAUCUGGAGGAACACCGGUGGCGAAGGCGGCGACCUGGGUAGAUACUGACGCUGAGGUGCGAAAGCGUGGGGAGCAAACAGG
rnacentral:rRNA from 1 species